rnacentral:lncRNA from 1 species
AGGGUUUAGGUGGUAGGGCAAUAAGAAAAUACAGUUUGUACAGUAAUAAAAACCAAUUACGACUAUGGAGAUUCCCUACGAGGAUAGUGCACCAGACUUUCUUUCUUUGUGUGUGUGUGUGUGUGUGUGUGCGUGCGUGUGCAUCCAAAAAUCAGUUCUACCUUCAUCACCCAGCCGUCACCAACGGGUUCACCUCGGCAUCAACAACUUUCCAGCAAGCAGCAGCAAGGGCUUCAGACAAUGUCAUCACAGCAGAAACCUCCUGUUUCUCAACAGGGUGGUUUCUCUUCCCCCAUAGCUAGACCAGCAAGCGAUAUAAAAACUUUCACACAGCCUACUACGGCUGCAACACCUCCUACGUCUACCACUACUGCAUUUGCUGGUGAAGAAGAGAGGAAGGAAACUGCACCCAAACUAGAUAAAGGGCUUGACCCUGGCGACAGAGACAAUAAAUCAACUCAAAAGAGAGGAACAACAGAGUCAGUACAGACACCUUCUAAAGAUGAAAAGAAAGAAUUACAGAGUAUUACCAAAUACUAUGAGAAGUGAGACCCAGGAAAUCCCUUAAAUGGACAAAUGCAUCCGAUAUCACUACAGCUGAAUAACAUGCAGAUAGAGACGCUUUGACUGAUGAAACAUGGAAGACAAUAAACACAAUUGCAAUGCAAUGCUAAUUGACAUAGCUUGUAUCACAGUAAAGAUUUUUAUAAAGAAUAUUUUCUGUCUCACUGUGAUAAGAAGCAACAUGGAACCACAGAAGCUAACUGUUUCAAACACGACUGAUGUUAUACAGGUCCUUCUCAAAAAAUUAGCAUAUUGUGAUAAAAGUUCAUUAUUUUCCAUAAUGUAAUGAUAAAAAUUAAACUUUCAUAUAUUUUAGAUUCAUUGCACACCAACUGAAAUAUUUCAGGUCUUUUAUUGUAUUAAUACUGAUGAUUUUGGCAUACAGCUCAUGAAAACCCAAAAUUCCUAUCUCAAAAAAUUAGCAUAUCAUGAAAAGGUUCUCUAAACGAGCUAUUAACCUAAUCAUCUGAAUCAACUAAUUAACUCUAAACACCUGCAAAAGAUUCCUGAGGCUUUUAAAAACUCCCAGCCUGGUUCAUUACUCAAAACCGCAAUCAUGGGUAAGACUGCCGACCUGACUGCUGUCCAGAGGCCAUCAUUGACACCCUCAAGCGAGAGGGUAAGACACAGAAAGAAAUUUCUGAACGAAUAGGCUGUUCCCAGAGUGCUGUAUCAAGGCACCUCAGUGGGAAGUCUGUGGGAAGGAAAAAGUGUGGCAAAAAACGCUGCACAACGAGAAGAGGUGAGUACUUUUUCGGAUGAAAGCAAAUUUUGCAUGUCAUUCGGAAAUCAAGGUGCCAGAGUCUGGAGGAAGACUGGGGAGAAGGAAAUGCCAAAAUGCCUGAAGUCCAGUGUCAAGUACCCACAGUCAGUGAUGGUCUGGGGUGCCAUGUCAGCUGCUGGUGUUGGUCCACUGUGUUUUAUCAAGGGCAGGGUCAAUGCAGCUAGCUAUCAGGAGAUUUUGGAGCACUUCAUGCUUCCAUCUGCUGAAAAGCUUUAUGGAGAUGAAUAUUUUGUUUUUCAGCACGACCUGGCACCUGCUCACAGUGCCAAAACCACUGGUUAAUGGUUUACUGACCAUGGUAUUACUGUGCUCAAUUGGCCUGCCAACUCUCCUGACCUGAACCCCAUAGAGAAUCUGUGGGAUAUUGUGAAGAGAAAGUUGAGAGACGCAAGACCCAACACUCUGGAUGAGCUUAAGGCCGCUAUCGAAGCAUCCUGUGAAGCAGUCAUUUCUGCAAAAGGAUUCCUGACCAAGUAUUGAGUGCAUAACUGAACAUAAUUAUUUGAAGGUUGACUUUUUUUUUAUUAAAAACACUUUUCUUUUAUUGGUCGGAUGAAAUAUGCUAAUUUUUUGAGAUAGGAAUUUUGGGUUUUCAUGAGCUGUAUGCCAAAAUCAUCAGUAUUAAAACAAUAAAAGACCUGAAAUAUUUCAGUUGGUGUGCAAUGAAUCUAAAAUACAUGAAAGUUUAAUUUUUAUCAUUACAUUAUGGAAAAUAAUGAACUUUUAUCACAGUAUGCUAAUUUUUUGAGAAGGACCUGUAUAGUGAUUUUGGAGAAAAACAUGAUAUUAGUCUCAUAAAUUGUCAUGUUUGACGUAAAGUUAAGCAAACAUACUACCUAUCACUGUUGCCAGGAGCAACUGUUUUAUAAGUAAUCUUGAAAAGUACAUUCACGUAUAAGAUUAUGUUGUUGUUUUUAAGAAGGGCAAAAGCAAAAAAGGGUAAAUGAGGGUUUAAAAGAAAGGAAAGGAUUUAAAACAGUGUGAAUUGAAAUGUGCCAGUAAAAAAUAAUGUGGGGUAUGGGUAAGGUUGGGCAUCGUUUGAAUUUUAAUGAUUCCGAUUCUUGUCAAUUCCUAAUUUUGAUUCCAAUAAAGGUAAAAAAAAAAAAAAAUAAACGUACAAGGAUGUGUGUGCAGCAGAGAAAAAAAUCCCGUGAGUCUUGUUGAAUGGCUUAAAAUCACAGUGAAAGUGUAGUUUGUAAUAAUAACAAAGGUGGACUCCAGGCACAUUUUCAGUAGGACAAAAAAAGAGCAUUUUAUUUAACAUGUUUACCCUAGGCUUGGGAAUCCAAAAUCUAUUCCUAUUCUGGAAUAGGAUGCUUAAGAUCAGGAAUCGUCUAGUUACAAAUCUACAAUAAAAUUUAGAUUCCUCUUAUCGAUUUCUUUGUGCGCAUUUUUAAUAUGACUUUAAACCAUUCUAGCACAAGAAGACUCAUGCACAGCAUACAUAGGGGCAUAGCCAUCAUUUCAGAAAUGAGUGGGACAGAAAUAGUAAAAAAAACAAAACAAAACAAAAAAAAACUAGAUCAGGAAUCGUCUAGUUACAAAUCUACAUAAAAUUUAGAUUCUCUUAUCGAUUCUUUGUGCGCAUUUUAAUAUGACUUUAAACCAUCUAGCACAAGAAGACUCAUGCACAGCAUACAUAGGGGCAUAGCCAUCAUUUCAGAAAUGAGUGGGACAGAAAUGUAAAAAAAACAAACAAACAAAAAAAACUAGCUUUUGACUUUUGUCUAAUUGACAAGCAUUAUGUAUUUUAAUUGGAUAAGAUAUCAAAUACACAGCUGGACGAUAACCAAUCAUUUGAAUUCUGUAAUAUUUUUUCUUUAUUUUCCUAAUGACAAUUUUAGAAUUGGUUUAUACAUACACAUAAUAAGGCAGAAUAGUUUCUAUUCUGUAUUAAAUGUCAAUUAGCACUGGAUUAUUCAUAUAACAUAUUUAUUACCAGAGGUGUAGCAAUGGGGCAAUGGGGCCCCCGCAUUUUAAGGGGGCCCCUGAUGGCUGACCAUUUAAACCAACAGGAAUGUUAAUAUUAAUAUCUCUAGCAUGCAGCAACAUCUCUCCAUCCCCCUAUGGGGCCCCCUCUCUCGUUACACUGGUUAUGCUUUUGCUGCUUUUAGAAAAUGCAUGAUCUGGAGCGGAGCAGAAUGCAGGACCCGAUCGUUUUUAAUCCAUUCCUAUGGAAGUUGAACUUGCGCAAUUUAGGAAUGAACUGAAAAGUUUUGCACACACACAUGAACAUGCACGUUAAAGAGGACAAAUCUGUCAGGCAGCCUGAAGCGGAAAAAAAGAAGAGGGAAAGAGGAAACAGGACAACAGUAAGCAUAGGCACCAAUUUAUAUUUCUGCCAAAACUCUAUUCCUUUUUUAAAUCAAAUAUAAAACAUUUUAUAAAUCAUUGUUUCCAUGAGCAAAUGAUAAUGAGCUAGUUUGUCAUGCAACAACUGUGUCUUAAAUAUUUUAACAUUCCCAUUUUUACAGCCUAAUUAAUUAAAAAUUAUAAAUAUAUUUUUCUCCGUUCAAUAUUGUGCUUGAAUUCAUUAGGCUAAACAAAACAUUUUAUUUGUGUCUCGCGAAGAGAAACGCACAGACUGCAAAUACACUGCUUAACAAAACAUUAUUUUUAUGAGCUUCACCUCAACUCGUUCACUUGCUGAUAUACAUAAAAUAAUUCAAUAAAUACCUUUUUAGAAUAGGCACUUAAUUCAAAUAACUAUUAGGCUAAAAAAAUACAAUUAAUAAUGAGAAUUCACUGACCAACAACAGCUUGAAAAUGCUAACAAAGAUGGAUCCGUAAUUUCUUUAUAAUUGAAAGGUACUCUGUGUUAUUUCAUCAGUCAGUCUUGGAAGUCUGGUGGUUGAUGGGCUUCUGGCAACAUUUAUUCCAGGAGAGAAGAUAAUCAUUUAGAAGGGCCUCACUGAUUAAUUUUGCCUGGGGCCCCCACUUCAUGUAGGCACGCCUAUGUUUAUUAACUCAAAAUGACCUGAAAUUACUUUUUUUGAAAUGCCUUUGUCCAUAUUUGGGAUUUCCUGCAUAUCAUAAGUUAUUACUUCUACUUGGCCGUUUUGGACUUUCUGUGUGAGAGUGCCCUCCAACUUCGAGUAUGAAUGAAACAUGCACUGCAUGAGAGUUUUUAGCGCUCCACAAUGUCUAUAUCUUCUCGAUUUGGAUAUGAAUAAAUCGUCCAGUCAUACAUAGACUAUCUUGUUUCUUCACCCAUGUGCUCACACACCCAAAGCACGCACACAGAAAAAGUGAUUUUAAAUGCAUCUGAUUGACAGAUAAAUCAUGGUUGAUCUAUCAGCCGGAUGCACGUAAAAUGUAUGCGCUCUUAUUUCAGUGUUGUUGUUAAUGUUGAGACUAUUUUAGCUUCGUACAUUUAGUUUAACUGCACUGUUAAAGAGGGCGAUUUUCACCAUUCAACUGGAUGAUGUGCAUGUAUUUUAGACACAUACAUUGUUCUUGCUCCAUCCAUGCAAUAACUGCGUCCUUCUAUCAACCAAGUUUCUAUUUACUUAUACUGCUGUGUAAUAUCGACAGUAUGACCCAUUUCAGGAGCUGACAAAAUUACAAUUUAAAAUCAGAGCAUAGCUCACAUUCACUAAAAUAUUGAAAUGCUAUGCUGAUUUAAAAUGACAACGCCGGUGAUUGAAAGUCAAAGCAUAGAGCGGUUUGAAUGGCCCGGCCCCGCAGCUGAACUGAAAGUUUUGAUUGGUUUUGCACCCGAGUCAGACCUGUCUGUUAUUGGCUGAAGUGCAGGGCUCCACACCAGUCAAACGCCGACUCGCUCUGUUUCUCCAUCGGCGCCUUCUUUGUCUAUUUUUUAAUUAUUUAUUAUUUGUACUUUGUAUUUUUGGUGAAAAACAAAUGUAGCGAAGUUGAAUACUUUAGUUUUAUUUUAGUUUUAUUUCAAGUAAAAUAAAAGUACCACAAUUUAAUUAUACUCAAGAAAGUAGAAAAAAAUAUAUAUAAUGUACUCAAGUACUGUAACGAAAGUAUUUGUAAUUAGUUACUUUCCACCUCUAAGUAUCACUCAUCCCAAGGAAGAUGUAGUUUUUCAAAUCUAGUCAGCUGUUUGUGCUUGAUUUUAUGGUGUGAACUGUCUAAGUGUAUCUUUUGUAUUUAUGUUUUUUGGUCUCCUAGGAAACCAGCAAGACAAACAGCAAUCAUGACCUAUCACGAAGUCCACAGAGUUUGAG